rnacentral:lncRNA from 1 species
AAGUGGACACAGACUUGGGAGGAAGAUGUUGACCUUCCUUCCUGGAAAACCAUAAAUUUUAGAAACACUUUUUUAUGGGGUGUCCUUUCUUGCCUCUAACAACAACUCCACUGAAUCGCCCCAAACCCAUAGGAACAUGAGUGAAAGGAAUGUGACUUCCAUAAGACCAACUGCCCUCCCGUCGAAAAGAUAGAUACCUCCUCCUCCUCCUCCGUUUUUGAUGGUAAAGAACAUCAGACAUUCUACCUCCUCUAUUAAGAAGAAGAAAACUGAGAUAGGAGGGGUGAGGAGUCACAAUAGCGCAACAGGAGC